rnacentral:Y_RNA from 1 species
GGCUGGUCCGAAGGUAGUGGCUAUCGCAAUCGAUUGUUCACAGUCAGUUACAGAUUGAUCUCCUUCUGCUCUCCUUCCCCCCUUACCACUACCAACCUUGACUGGUCUUUU